rnacentral:rRNA from 1 species
UACAGAGGGUGCGAGCGUUAAUCGGAAUUACUGGGCGUAAAGCGUGCGUAGACGGUAGCGUAAGUCAGAUGUGAAAGCCCCGGGCUCAACCUGGGAACUGCAUUUGAGACUGCUCUGCUCGGGUGCGGAAGAGGGAAGCGGAAUUUCCGGUGUAGCGGUGAAAUGCGUAGAUAUCGGAAGGAACACCAGUGGCGAAAGCGGCUUCCUGGUCCGACACCGACGUUCAGGCACGAAAGCGUGGGGAGCGAACGGG